rnacentral:rRNA from 1 species
CCUACGGGUGGCUGCAGUGGGGAACAUUGCACAAUGGGCGCAAGCCUGAUGCAGCCAUGCCGCGUGUGUGAAGAAGGCCUUCGGGUUGUAAAGCACUUUCAGCGGGGAGGAAGGCGUUAAGGUUAAUAACCUUGGCGAUUGACGUUACCCGCAGAAGAAGCACCGGCUAACUCCGUGCCAGCAGCCGCGGUAAUACGGAGGGUGCAAGCGUUAAUCGGAAUUACUGGGCGUAAAGCGCACGCAGGCGGUCUGGCAAGUCGGAUGUGAAAUCCCCGGGCUCAACCUGGGAACUGCAUUCGAAACUGGCAGGCUAGAGUCUUGUAGAGGGGGGUAGAAUUCCAGGUGUAGCGGUGAAAUGCGUAGAGAUCUGGAGGAAUACCGGUGGCGAAGGCGGCCCCCUGGACAAAGACUGACGCUCAGGUGCGAAAGCGUGGGGAGCAAACAGGAUUAGAUACCCGAGUAGUC